CCCCCCCAACCCCCUUCUCCCCCGCAGCAAUUCUGUGGAAAAGGCACCAGAGCAGUGUUGUAGGCCAGGCCAGCUUGAAGGAGGAGCAGCUUGUCUGGCAUUGCAGUGGCUGUGAAUGAGGCUACGAGGGGAAGGAUGCCCUGACAGGCAUAUCCUGGCUGUUGGUGUGGGACCCACUGCAUUUCCAGGGCACUCAGGCCGGCCUUUCAAGGCAGGCAGCUGGUCUGUGUGUGGCCCUUAUGCCUCAGCGGUGACAGACCAGUAUUCGCAUGGGGUGCAGGAGGGGGCAGUCAGCUCAGAAGGAGCUCCGGGCAAAUUUAUGUCUCAAUACAUGCAGAGAUUAGCGCAGGGAACACUAGGAUGUGAGCCCACAAUGUACUUCCCUUCAGGAGUGAGUACUCAGGUGCAUGCCGUUCCCUGGAAGGUGACAUGAGGGUGCUUUAGAGCACCUGAUGUGCUGUGAACACAUGCUUGUUCUUCAAGGUAACUUGUUCACUGUCUCAUAAAAAGGCAUAUAUUGCCUGUCCCGUCUGCCACUUUCAGAGCAGAGAGGAGACCUGGCGAUGAAAGCAUGUUCUAGACCUUCCUCUGGUGUGGAAAGGCACAGGCCUGGCGUGAAUGUCCGGUAGGAGUAUGGUGGGAACAAGCUAUAUUGGGUAUCCAGUGGUCUUAUCUGAACUAUUGUUUCUUUACAGUCAGCACUCACAGCUGCCAGAUCAGCUGCACCAAUGCAGUGUUACACUGUACAGUGGAUGUCAGGAUGCCUUCUUGCCUGAAAAAGACUUUCUCACCCCAAACAGCAGUCGUCGUAUUCUGCAAGCGCGCAUGGUAUAUACGUAUUUCUGCAGCAGAAGUUACAGGAUGGCCAGAAUCAAACCACAACCUCCAGUAUCAACAUGCAGCACAGAGAAGGUUGGAGGAAAGAAGAAUUUCUCACCAAGUGCAAAACUGCAGAGUUUCAGAGCAAGGUAUGAAAAAGGAAAGAAGAAAACCUGGUUCUCUCUCUCGUCCUCUAGCCACUAGACAAUGCUCAGUCCCUAACAACCAGUUGAAGAUUACAAGCCUGAACAGAUUUAAUCCCAAGCAAAUCUCAAUGUGUCCAUCAUGCUCUGGGGUCCCUGAAAGGAAGCUGGGGUUCCUGAUGAAGCUGGGCUGGGUGCCAUGCUGCCAACAUGGGGGAGUUUUUCAUUUCUUGGAGUGUGGCCAAUAACCUGCAGCAAGAAAACAGGACGGGGACUUUCACACCAAAAGCAAGAUGCCAAGACCAAAACCAUCUGUCUGCACGUCUUCCUCUCUGCCUCUGUUCUUGGGGGAUAGCUGGAACAUGCCUGCGAGUGGAACCUAUGGCACUGAGGCUGGGAGCAUGAAUCUUGCUUCACGGGGAGCUCAGAGUGUUAAUCUUGGCACAUGCAUCCUGGUCCUGCUGCAUUUAGAGACUGGGAAUAUGACUACUGGCAUGACUGCCCUAGCGCCUGCAUGCUGAUACAUCGCAGCAGAGGAACGCAGCCCGAAACCCACGCUCUUCUGUGUGUAUCCUGCUACGCUCUGUACACACGCAGCUGUCGGGGUCUGGCACGGCACGGUCUCCUCUGGGCAGCCACAUGGAUAUGGAAAAUUCUCGGAGCUCCAAGCUGCGAAGAACUAAGUGUGUCUCCCUGCUCGCUUCUCUCACCCAUGAUCCUUGACGCUCAGGUCCAAGCUGUGCUCCUGCAAGGAGUCCUGAGUGGCAGCAGAUGAUGAUCCCAUGGUUUCUACAGGCUCCUGCUUCACCUGAACUGGAUUGAACCGUCCGGGAGCUGUUGGUUGUCCAUUCCCUGUUGAGAAAGACAAAAUGAAAUGCAAAAAUGAUACGAAAAACGUAGGUAUAAAAUAAGGUUACAAUGGCAAAUAAAAAAGUUAAAUCAC